rnacentral:rRNA from 1 species
UAGGGAAUCUUCGGCAAUGGGGGCAACCCUGACCGAGCAACGCCGCGUGAGUGAAGAAGGUUUUCGGAUCGUAAAGCUCUGUUGUAAGAGAAGAACGUGUGUGAGAGUGGAAAGUUCACACAGUGACGGUAACUUACCAGAAAGGGACGGCUAACUACGUGCCAGCAGCCGCGGUAAUACGUAGGUCCCGAGCGUUGUCCGGAUUUAUUGGGCGUAAAGCGAGCGCAGGCGGUUUAAUAAGUCUGAAGUUAAAGGCAGUGGCUUAACCAUUGUUCGCUUUGGAAACUGUUAAACUUGAGUGCAGAAGGGGAGAGUGGAAUUCCAUGUGUAGCGGUGAAAUGCGUAGAUAUAUGGAGGAACACCGGUGGCGAAAGCGGCUCUCUGGUCUGUAACUGACGCUGAGGCUCGAAAGCGUGGGGUGCAAACAGG